rnacentral:rRNA from 1 species
AUUGAACGCUGGCGGCAGGCCUAACACAUGCAAGUCGAACGGAGUGGCGGACGGGUGAGUAAUGCCUAGGAAUCUGCCUUGUAUUGAGGGAUAACGUCCGGAAACGGGAGCUAAUACACCAUAAUAUCAGAUGAGACUAGGUCGGAUUGGCUAGUUGGUGGGGUAAAGGCCUACCAAGGCGACGAUCCGUAACUGGUCUGAGAGGAUGAUCAGUAACACUGGAACUGAGACACGGUCCAGACUCCUACGGGAGGCAGCAGUGGGGAAUAUUGGACAAUGGGCGAAAGCCUGAUCCAGCCAUGCCGCGUGUGUGAAGAAGGUCUUCGGAUUGUAAAGCACUUUAAGUUGGGAGGCGUUACCAACAGAAUAAGCACCGGCUAACUUCGUGCCAGCAGCCGCGGUAAUUC